rnacentral:misc_RNA from 1 species
UCCGGUUUGUCACCGGCAGUCUGGCGUGAGUCCCCAACUUAAUGCUGGCAACACGCCACGGGGGUUGCGCUCGUUGCGGGACUUAACCCAACAUCUCACGACACGAGCUGACGACAGCCAUGCACCACCUGUGAUCCUGCUCCGAAGAGAAGCCCUGUUUCCAGAGCGGUCAGGAACAUGUCAAGCCCAGGUAAGGUUCUUCGCGUUGCAUCGAAUUAAGCCACAUGCUCCGCCGCUUGUGCGGGUCCCCGUCAAUUCCUUUGAGUUUUAACCUUGCGGCCGUACUCCCUAGGCGGUCAACUUCACGCGUUAGCUUCGUUACCAAGGAAUUGCUUCCCCGACAACCAGUUGACAUAGUUUAGGGCGUGGACUAC